UGUAGAAGACACUUGCCCAAGAUGCCCUACAGUGGUACUGACCCCAAGACCACAUGGUUGGGAAGCAAGUUUCUUAACCACACAGCCAUGCCAUUUGUGUAGAAAUGUUGGUGAAAUUCUAAAUUUUUUGUCUUUUAUAUAGGCGCAGGAGUGGCUAUGUGGUAAGUAGCUUGCUAACCAACCACAUGGUUCCGGGUUCAGUCCCACUGCGUGUCAUCUUGGGCAAGUGUCUUCUACUAUAGCCCCAGGCCGACCAAAGCCUUGUGAGUGGAUUUGGUAGACGGAAACUGAAAGAAGCCUGUCGUUUGUCCCCCUAGCAUUGCUUGACAACCGAUGCUGGUAUGUUUACGUCCCCGUCACUUAGCGGUUCGGCAAAAGAGACCAAUAGAAUAAGUACUGGGCUUAUAAAGAAUAAGUCCCGGGGUCAAUUCGCUCGACUAAAGGCAGUGCUCCAGCAUGGCCGCAGUCAAAUGACUGAAACAAGUAAAAGAGUAAAAGAGAGUAAAAGAGAGUCAGAAGAAGAAACCUUGUUUUAGAGCUUCUAACACUAGAUGGUGGAAGGAAGGAAAUUAUCCUCAGUUCACAGACCUGGCCUGGAUGUUUACAAAAAUAGCAAACUCUGCUAUAGGUACCUAAGAACCAGGAACUCAUGUUAAACCAGCUAGCAGAUUAAGUCUACUAUCCAAGAACAGGAACAGUUCCUCUAAUGGGCUUCCAUAGUUUCUGUCUACCAAAUUUCAAACACAAGCCUUUGGUCAAUCCAAAGGAUAUGGUUGAAGAUACUUGCCCAAGGUGCUUGCAGAGAGAUUGAACCCAAUACCAUAUAAAUGUGAAACAAAACUUCUCAACCACAAAACCAUAUAGUUAAUCCUGUAUAUCUAACCAGUACAUUAGCUUUUCCUCCGAAAUAUGAACCUAUCUCUUUUUUUUAUAAUUUAUAAUUUUCUAAGUUGUUUUAAAACAAGUCGUGAUACUCAGAGAAAACAAUAUUAUAUCACUACUACUACUACUACUACUACUACUACUACAACUACUGCUGCUGCUGCUACUGCUUACAACUCACUGUCAUAUCAUUUAGAGUUAGGUACUGCACUUUGUGGUAGUAAGAGGGUAUGUUAUAGAAACUAACCAAGUAUAAAAA
rnacentral:lncRNA from 1 species